GUGCCAGCCGCCGCGGUAAUACGAACUGCGCGAACGUUAUUCGGAAUCACUGGGCUUACAGGGUGCGUAGGCGGCGGAGAAAGUAGGGUGUGAAAUGCCUUGGCUCAACCAAGGCACAGCGCUCUAAACUACUUCGCUGGAGUGAGUCAGGGGUGCACGGAACUUCCGGUGGAGCGGUGAAAUGUGUUGAUAUCGGAAGGAACACCGGUGGCGAAAGCGGUGCACUGGGGCUUAACUGACGCUGAGGCACGAAAGCCAGGGUAGCGAACGGGAUUAGAUACCCCCGUAGUCC
rnacentral:rRNA from 1 species